rnacentral:rRNA from 1 species
GUUUGAUCCUGGCUCAGGAUGAACGCUAGCGGCAGGCCUAACACAUGCAAGUCGAGGGGUAACAGGGGAGCUUGCUCCCGCUGACGACCGGCGCACGGGUGAGUAACGCGUAUGCAACCUACCCAUAACAGGGGGAUAGCCCGAAGAAAUUCGGAUUAAUACCCCAUAACAUCAUAAAUUCGCAUGUUUUUAUGAUUAAAGCUCUGGCGGUUAUGGAUGGGCAUGCGUGACAUUAGUUUGUUGGUAAGGUAACGGCUUACCAAGACUGCGAUGUCUACGGGGUCUUAAAGGAUGAUCCCGCACACUGGUACUGAGACACGGACCAGACUCCUACGGGAGGCAGCAGUGAGGAAUAUUGCGCAAUGGAGGCAACUCUGACGCAGCCAUGCCGCGUGCAGGAUGACGGCCCUAUGGGUUGUAAACUGCUUUUCUGUACCAAGAAACCCAUGUUCGUGAACAUGGCUGACGGUAGUACAGGAAUAAGCAUCGGCUAACUCCGUGCCAGCAGCCGCGGUAAUACGGAGGAUGCAAGCGUUAUCCGGAUUUAUUAGGUUUAAAGGGUGCGUAGGCGGAAUAAUAAGUCAGUGGUGAAAUCCUGCAGCUUAACUGUAGAACUGCCAUUGAAACUGUUAUUCUUGAGUAUAGUUGAGGUGGGCGGAACGUGUCAUGUAGCGGUGAAAUGCUUAGAUAUGACACAGAACACCUAUUGCGAAGGCAGCUCACUAAACUAUUACUGACGCUGAGGCACGAAAGCGUGGGGAGCGAACAGGAUUAGAUACCCUGGUAGUCCACGCCGUAAACGAUGAUCACUCGUUGUUCGCGAUAUAUUGUGAGCGACUGAGCGAAAGCAUUAAGUGAUCCACCUGGGGAGUACGUCGGCAACGAUGAAACUCAAAGGAAUUGACGGGGGCCCGCACAAGCGGAGGAACAUGUGGUUUAAUUCGAUGAUACGCGAGGAACCUUACCUGGGCUUAAAUGUAGAGCGACGUACCGGGAAACUGGUAUUCCCUUCGGGGCGAACUACAAGGUGCUGCAUGGUUGUCGUCAGCUCGUGCCGUGAGGUGUCGGGUUAAGUCCCAUAACGAGCGCAACCCCUAUUGUUAGUUGCCAGCGGAUAAUGCCGGGGACUCUAACGAGACUGCCAUCGUAAGAUGUGAGGAAGGUGGGGAUGACGUCAAAUCAGCACGGCCCUUAUGUCCAGGGCUACACACGUGUUACAAUGGUCGAUACAAAGGGCAGCUACUUGGUGACAAGAUGCUAAUCUCCAAAAUCGAUCUCAGUUCGGAUCGAAGUCUGCAAUUCGACUUCGUGAAGCUGGAUUCGCUAGUAAUCGUAUAUCAGCAAUGAUACGGUGAAUACGUUCCCGGGCCUUGUACACACCGCCCGUCAAGCCAUGGAAGCUGGGGGUACCUGAAGUUCGUAACCGUAAGGAGCGACCUAGGGUAAAACUAGUAACUGGGGCUAAGUCGUAACAAGGUA